AGCGAACGCUGGCGGCGUGCUUAACACAUGCAAGUCGAACGAUGAACUUGGAGCUUGCUCUGGGGGAUUAGUGGCGAACGGGUGAGUAACACGUGAGUAACCUGCCCUGGACUCUGGGAUAACUUCGAGAAAUCGGAGCUAAUACCGGAUAGGACCUUGCACCGCAUGGUGUGGGGUGGAAAGUUUUUCGGUUUGGGAUGGACUCGCGGCCUAUCAGCUUGUUGGUGGGGUAAUGGCUCACCAAGGCGUCGACGGGUAGCCGGCCUGAGAGGGUGACCGGCCACAGUGGGACUGAGACACGGUCCAGACUCCUACGGGAGGCAGCAGUGGGGAAUAUUGCACAAUGGGCGCAAGCCUGAUGCAGCAACGCCGCGUGCGGGAUGACGGCCUUCGGGUUGUAAACCGCUUUUAGUAGGGGAGAAGCCUUCGGGUGACGGUACCUGCAGAAAAAGGACCGGCUAACUACGUGCCAGCAGCCGCGGUAAUAC
rnacentral:rRNA from 1 species